UUAAUUUAAUAAAACAUCUUAUUUGACUCAUCUUCAACUAUUUGGGUUGAAGUGCAACACUUUUUCAAUAACGACAUAACUUUCGGUCAAGGUCCUUUUCUCAACAGUAUAUGUUUUAAGAAUAAGUCUUUAUUCUUGAAGAAAACAAGAUCUAAAUCAAAGGUCUUUCAUCUAUUUUAUACAAUUAUUUCACAGGGAAUGACGCCAUCCAUGCUUUAACCAAAGAUCAGGACCAAGAUCUACGAGUGGAUCUCCAGAAAUUUAACGGGGACACGGCGUUGCUGAAUAUUCAACAUUUUAUAUCGGAAACGAGGCUGAUAAAUACCAACUCACAGUGUCCGGUUACACGGGAAAUGCGGGUGACAGUUUGGGUCCACAUAAUGGUAUGAGAUUCAGUAAUUCUACACAUAUAUUAUUGUUUCCCUUUCCUGCUGUAGGUGACAGUUUGGGUCCACAUAAUGGUAUGAGAUUCAGUAAUUCUACACCUAUAUCAGUUAUUGUUUCCCAUUCCUGUUGUAGGUGAAAGUUUGUAUCCACAUAAUGGUAUGAGAAUCAGUAAUUCUACACAUAUAUCAGUUAUUGUUUCCCAUUCCUGCUGUAGGUGACAGUCUGGGUCCACAUAAUGGUAUGAGAUUCAGUACAAAGGACCAGGAUAAUGAUCAAGCUAGUUACAACUGUGCUAUAAAUCAUCAUGGAGCAUGGUGGUACAGUGGAUGUACAAA